rnacentral:lncRNA from 1 species
UGGCUCUUGGAAUUGUUUUGGUAGUGAUUGAGUUGGAUUUGGACUUCUGAAAACUCAAAAUUCGGUUUCCUGAACAAUUUCCCGCUCUGCUGUAUUUUCUGCUGUCAUUGUGAUCGGGGCAGUGAUUUGGGCAAAUCACUGGUCCAAUCACUUUCUGCAAGUUUGUGCUAUCUCUGCUAGUGAUUUGACCAGUUUUUACGAGUGAUUUGGGCAAAUCACU